AGGUGUAGCUGGUAACUGGGAUGAAGUCGUAACAAGGUAGCCGUAGGGGAACCUGCGGCUGGAUCACCUCCUUU
rnacentral:rRNA from 1 species